rnacentral:other from 1 species
CCCCGUCUAGGCGAUCCGUCAGAGCAGUAUCGUUUAUCCUCAAACGCUACUAUGGGAGGCUCAAUCUCCUGCGAUCGUGGUUGCAGGAUGCGGUCACCCACCUGGAAAAAACCAGGAUUAAGCGUCUCUGCUCAACGGUCGUUUGGAUGUCUG